CGCGGGUGUAGCUCAGUUGGUUAGAGUGCCGGCCUGUCACGCCGGAGGUCGCGGGUUCGAGUCCCGUCACUCGCGCCAC
rnacentral:tRNA from 1 species